CCACAAAAGGUGUUGGUUGCUCUAGACAGCAGGACGGUGGCCAUGGAAGUUGGAAUCCGCUAAGGAGUGUGUAACAACUCACCUGCCGAAGCAACUAGCCCUGAAAAUGGAUGGCGCUCAAGCGUCGCACCUAUACCGUGCCGUCGGAGCAGAUGCGAAGCUCCGACGAGUAGGAGGGCGUGGGGGUCGUGACGCAGCCUCUGGCGCGAGCCUGGGUGAAACGGCCUCCAGUGCAGAUCUUGGUGGUAGUAGCAAAUAUUCAAAUGAGAGCUUUGAAGACCCCCCACAGCC
rnacentral:ncRNA from 1 species